rnacentral:hammerhead_ribozyme from 1 species
AUCCAUUUGACGAGGCCUAAAUAGGACGAAAUGCGCAUCCUGGCUGGAU